UACGUAGGGUGCAAGCGUUAAUCGGAAUUACUGGGCGUAAAGCGUGCGCAGGCGGUUUUGUAAGUCAGAUGUGAAAUCCCCGGGCUCAACCUGGGAACUGCGUUUGUGACUGUAUGACUAGAGUACGGUAGAGAGGGGUGGAAUUCCUGGUGUAGCAGUGAAAUGCGUAGAUAUCAGGAGGAACAUCGAUGGCGAAGGCAGCCCCUUGGACCUGUACUGACGCUCAUGCACGAAAGCGUGGGGAGCAAACAGG
rnacentral:rRNA from 1 species